GGUGAACCUGCGGAAGGAUCAUUACCGAUGUGAAAGAAUCCAAGGUUAAACAUCAUUAACCAGUGUGAACUGUGAAACAACUCUUUAGGGGUCGGCACAGGCGUGUAUCGUUAAAUGGCGGAUAGGUUCCUUCCGCCAGCCCCGCCAUUGUGUUUAUGAUAUCACUUUGAACGUUUAAGACUGAGAACGUAUGUAUCAUGCAUUAAAUGUAUGAGAAAGAAGGAAAGAAAAAUGAGAGACAACUUUUGACGGUGGAUCUCUUGGCUCACGUAUCGAUGAAGAACGCAGCCAGCUGCGAUAUGUAGUGUGAAUUGCAGAAUUCAGUGAAUCAUUGAAUCUUUGAACGCAAAUGGCGCUCUUGGGUUCUCCCAGGAGCAUGUCUGUCUGAGUGUCGGAUUUUAUCGAACGCACUCGUGAGUGCGGUAUUGAGGUGUCACGGCGUGUUAGCAAGCAAGCAAGCAUUAAAUCGCCGUGUCCCUUGAAGGACAGCAGCAUUGGACUCGCAUUCUCUAUUGAAACUUGAGUGCGAAGGCUAAAGAUAAUAUUUUCCUUCGCCCAAACAUGCAAUAGCAGAAACAAAAUCCAAUCAAAGCGGUGAGUGACAAUAAACAUCAAAUCUUGACCUCAGAUCAGGCAAGGCUACCCGCUGA
rnacentral:sRNA from 1 species